GGGUUGUGAGGUUAAGCGACUAAGCGUACACGGUGGAUGCCCUGGCAGUCAGAGGCGAUGAAGGACGUGCUAAUCUGCGAUAAGCGUCGGUAAGGUGAUAUGAACCGUUAUAACCGGCGAUUUCCGAAUGGGGAAACCCAGUGUGAUUCGUCACACUAUCAUUAACUGAAUCCAUAGGUUAAUGAGGCGAACCGGGGGAACUGAAACAUCUAAGUACCCCGAGGAAAAGAAAUCAACCGAGAUUCCCCCAGUAGCGGCGAGCGAACGGGGAGCAGCCCAGAGCCUGAAUCAGUGUGUGUGUUAGUGGAAGCGUCUGGAAAGGCGCGCGAUACAGGGUGACAGCCCCGUACACAAAAAUGCACAUGCUGUGAGCUCGAUGAGUAGGGCGGGACACGUGGUAUCCUGUCUGAAUAUGGGGGGACCAUCCUCCAAGGCUAAAUACUCCUGACUGACCGAUAGUGAACCAGUACCGUGAGGGAAAGGCGAAAAGAACCCCGGCGAGGGGAGUGAAAAAGAACCUGAAACCGUGUACGUACAAGCAGUGGGAGCACGCUUAGGCGUGUGACUGCGUACCUUUUGUAUAAUGGGUCAGCGACUUAUAUUCUGUAGCAAGGUUAACCGAAUAGGGGAGCCGAAGGGAAACCGAGUCUUAACUGGGCGUUAAGUUGCAGGGUAUAGACCCGAAACCCGGUGAUCUAGCCAUGGGCAGGUUGAAGGUUGGGUAACACUAACUGGAGGACCGAACCGACUAAUGUUGAAAAAUUAGCGGAUGACUUGUGGCUGGGGGUGAAAGGCCAAUCAAACCGGGAGAUAGCUGGUUCUCCCCGAAAGCUAUUUAGGUAGCGCCUCGUGAAUUCAUCUCCGGGGGUAGAGCACUGUUUCGGCAAGGGGGUCAUCCCGACUUACCAACCCGAUGCAAACUGCGAAUACCGGAGAAUGUUAUCACGGGAGACACACGGCGGGUGCUAACGUCCGUCGUGAAGAGGGAAACAACCCAGACCGCCAGCUAAGGUCCCAAAGUCAUGGUUAAGUGGGAAACGAUGUGGGAAGGCCCAGACAGCCAGGAUGUUGGCUUAGAAGCAGCCAUCAUUUAAAGAAAGCGUAAUAGCUCACUGGUCGAGUCGGCCUGCGCGGAAGAUGUAACGGGGCUAAACCAUGCACCGAAGCUGCGGCAGCGACGCUUAUGCGUUGUUGGGUAGGGGAGCGUUCUGUAAGCCUGUGAAGGUGUACUGUGAGGUAUGCUGGAGGUAUCAGAAGUGCGAAUGCUGACAUAAGUAACGAUAAAGCGGGUGAAAAGCCCGCUCGCCGGAAGACCAAGGGUUCCUGUCCAACGUUAAUCGGGGCAGGGUGAGUCGACCCCUAAGGCGAGGCCGAAAGGCGUAGUCGAUGGGAAACAGGUUAAUAUUCCUGUACUUGGUGUUACUGCGAAGGGGGGACGGAGAAGGCUAUGUUGGCCGGGCGACGGUUGUCCCGGUUUAAGCGUGUAGGCUGGUUUUCCAGGCAAAUCCGGAAAAUCAAGGCUGAGGCGUGAUGACGAGGCACUACGGUGCUGAAGCAACAAAUGCCCUGCUUCCAGGAAAAGCCUCUAAGCAUCAGGUAACAUCAAAUCGUACCCCAAACCGACACAGGUGGUCAGGUAGAGAAUACCAAGGCGCUUGAGAGAACUCGGGUGAAGGAACUAGGCAAAAUGGUGCCGUAACUUCGGGAGAAGGCACGCUGAUAUGUAGGUGAAGUCCCUCGCGGAUGGAGCUGAAAUCAGUCGAAGAUACCAGCUGGCUGCAACUGUUUAUUAAAAACACAGCACUGUGCAAACACGAAAGUGGACGUAUACGGUGUGACGCCUGCCCGGUGCCGGAAGGUUAAUUGAUGGGGUUAGCGCAAGCGAAGCUCUUGAUCGAAGCCCCGGUAAACGGCGGCCGUAACUAUAACGGUCCUAAGGUAGCGAAAUUCCUUGUCGGGUAAGUUCCGACCUGCACGAAUGGCGUAAUGAUGGCCAGGCUGUCUCCACCCGAGACUCAGUGAAAUUGAACUCGCUGUGAAGAUGCAGUGUACCCGCGGCAAGACGGAAAGACCCCGUGAACCUUUACUAUAGCUUGACACUGAACAUUGAGCCUUGAUGUGUAGGAUAGGUGGGAGGCUUUGAAGUGUGGACGCCAGUCUGCAUGGAGCCGACCUUGAAAUACCACCCUUUAAUGUUUGAUGUUCUAACGUUGACCCGUAAUCCGGGUUGCGGACAGUGUCUGGUGGGUAGUUUGACUGGGGCGGUCUCCUCCUAAAGAGUAACGGAGGAGCACGAAGGUUGGCUAAUCCUGGUCGGACAUCAGGAGGUUAGUGCAAUGGCAUAAGCCAGCUUGACUGCGAGCGUGACGGCGCGAGCAGGUGCGAAAGCAGGUCAUAGUGAUCCGGUGGUUCUGAAUGGAAGGGCCAUCGCUCAACGGAUAAAAGGUACUCCGGGGAUAACAGGCUGAUACCGCCCAAGAGUUCAUAUCGACGGCGGUGUUUGGCACCUCGAUGUCGGCUCAUCACAUCCUGGGGCUGAAGUAGGUCCCAAGGGUAUGGCUGUUCGCCAUUUAAAGUGGUACGCGAGCUGGGUUUAGAACGUCGUGAGACAGUUCGGUCCCUAUCUGCCGUGGGCGCUGGAGAACUGAGGGGGGCUGCUCCUAGUACGAGAGGACCGGAGUGGACGCAUCACUGGUGUUCGGGUUGUCAUGCCAAUGGCACUGCCCGGUAGCUAAAUGCGGAAGAGAUAAGUGCUGAAAGCAUCUAAGCACGAAACUUGCCCCGAGAUGAGUUCUCCCUGACCCUUUAAGGGUCCUGAAGGAACGUUGAAGACGACGACGUUGAUAGGCCGGGUGUGUAAGCGCAGCGAUGCGUUGAGCUAACCGGUACUAAUGAACCGUGAGGCUUAACCUUACAACGCCGAAGGUGUUU
rnacentral:rRNA from 2 species